GCACUCCAUCACAUGGAGGUGGCUACGGUGGCACACCACCCAGCCACCCAACCCCAUCAACCCCAUCUCCUGGAAAUUGUGGAACUCCACCGAGCGUGCCCACUCCAUCAAGACCACCAAGUGAUCCUACUCCAACACCAUACACGCCUACACCAUCAACACCACCUAGUGUGCCUACUCCAUCAACACCUUCAAAUCCUCCUCCCAGCGGUGGUGGAUACUACCCCACUCCUCCAAGCACUGGUGGUAGUCCUCCAACACCUGUCAUUGAGACCCCACCGACAC
rnacentral:lncRNA from 1 species